rnacentral:rRNA from 1 species
UACAGAGGGUGCAAGCGUUAAUCGGAAUUACUGGGCGUAAAGGGUGCGUAGGCGGGUCUUUAAGUCAGGGGUGAAAUCCUGGGGCUCAACUCCAGAACUGCCUUUGAUACUGAGGAUCUUGAGUUCGGGAGAGGUGAGUGGAACUGCGAGUGUAGAGGUGAAAUUCGUAGAUAUUCGCAAGAACACCAGUGGCGAAGGCGGCUCACUGGCCCGAUACUGACGCUGAGGCACGAAAGCGUGGGGAGCGAACAGG